GACGAACGCUGGCGGCGUGCCUAAUACAUGCAAGUCGAACGCUUCUUUCCUCCCGAGUGCUUGCACUCAAUUGGAAAGAGGAGUGGCGGACGGGUGAGUAACACGUGGGUAACCUACCCAUCAGAGGGGGAUAACACUUGGAAACAGGUGCUAAUACCGCAUAACAGUUUAUGCCGCAUGGCAUAAGAGUGAAAGGCGCUUUCGGGUGUCGCUGAUGGAUGGACCCUCGGUGCAUUAGCUAGUUGGUGAGGUAACGGCUCACCAAGGCCACGAUGCAUAGCCGACCUGAGAGGGUGAUCGGCCACACUGGGACUGAGACACGGCCCAGACUCCUACGGGAGGCAGCAGUAGGGAAUCUUCGGCAAUGGACGAAAGUCUGACCGAGCAACGCCGCGUGAGUGAAGAAGGUUUUCGGAUCGUAAAACUCUGUUGUUAGAGAAGAACAAGGACGUUAGUAACUGAACGUCCCCUGACGGUAUCUAACCAGAAAGCCACGGCUAACUACGUG
rnacentral:rRNA from 1 species